AGACGAUUAGUCCAACGAAAGACAGCUGAUUUCGACUCAGCAGAACAUGGUUCAACCCCAUGAUCGUCUU
rnacentral:tRNA from 1 species